rnacentral:ncRNA from 2 species
CUAACUUUGCCGCGCAUUGGUUCAUUUUUCCCAAGCAUUCAGAAAAAUGAUUAAAAGGGAAUCAGGUGAGAAUCCUGAACAGUCCCGUUGCUGUAUGUUUCAUAAAAGCGUGAUGAACACUACCUCAUGCCACUGAGAGGCUUCUAAGCCGAUUGGGAAGGCGUUUAUUCACGGAAACGAGUCAGAAGACCUGCCAUGCAACAUGUUCAAUA